rnacentral:rRNA from 1 species
UACGUAGGGUGCGAGCGUUAAUCGGAAUUACUGGGCGUAAAGCGUGCGCAGGCGGUUUUGUAAGCCAGAUGUGAAAUCCCCGGGCUUAACCUGGGAAUGGCAUUUGGGACUGCAAGGCUUGAGUGCGGCAGAGGAGACUAGAAUUCCUGGUGUAGCGGUGAAAUGCGCAGAUAUCGGGAGGAACACCAGUGGCGAAGGCGGCACUCUGGGCCAGUACUGACACUGAGGAGCGAAAGCGUGGGGAGCGAACAGG